CGUAUGCGUUGGUUCUCGGGUGUCGGAUCGUCAAAAGGAGCUUCUGCUGGCUUUUGUGAAAGAGCACCCACAGAUCGCGACGCUGUCGUGCCCGCUGGAGCCGUCUUUCACGAGGGAGGACCGGGACGACAUGUGGCAGGAGCUAGUAGCGCUUUUGAACGAAGAAGUCCCUGCGCGUAACACCAGGGCCCAGUGGCAGGCCCGAUGGAGGGCAGCAGAGCGGCACCCGAGGCGGCCAGAUUUCGGAUUACCGCGGCCGCGUCGUGCUUGACAGGGACGAGUGUGCGAGGCCCAUAGUUCGUGUGGUCUGAAUCGGUAAGCACUGGCUUAGAAUAUCAUUGUUACUUGUAUGCUGCGAACAAGUGGGCUCGUUUGCUUCGAGCCAUUACGCGCUGUUAGUUUUACUUUUUCAAACAAUAUCGAGUGGAUCACCCGGCCGCCGCGUUAGCUGAGGUGCUAACACGUUGCGCCGCCCAGAACAGAAUGCGAAACAGCCACAUUUGCGGUGAUGACGAAAGAACAGCCGCGAACUAUAUUUCGAAGCUCAUUAGAGCACCCUACGUGUUCCAACCCAUUUCUCAGACCCUCGAGUCGAGUGAGGUGCGUAGCCAGUAGGCUUGCCUCCCUCCACCCCUCUCUCCGAAGUCUGUGUGUCAUAGCAUGCCGCUGUUGAAACAUUCUAAAAAAACAUUGCUAUUGUCCACUUCCAUUCCAUACUUCUUAUUGCACUCAGUGUGUCAAUCAAGAAACUUCUUACUAUAACAGGUGAGCCCUGCUCCAGCUGCUACUGGUGUGGCUGAAGAGGAUGUGGCCCAGGAUCUUUCCCGUGCCCCAACUCCUCAUGCCGCAGCUGCGAGAUGGGGGCAACCGGCAGGCCGAGGCGCUGGAGUUACUAGCCGCAAACACCAGGCGGCAGGGCCAGGC